AUGAACAGUGUUAAGGCCCUUACAGAAGGGGCUUCACAGAGUGCUCGGCGAGCUUGCCCUUCAGCCUUCUGCCACGUGAGGACGCAAUAGGAAGAUUCUCACCAGACCAGAUGCCAAGCCUUGAUCUUGGACUUCCCAGCUUCCAGAAUUGCAAAAUUCUAAGACGGCCUGCAAGAUUUCUACCCCUGGUGCACAGACCCUGUAUGAUCCUCUCCCCUGGAGUGUGAAUGGAAGCUGAGAAUAUGAUGGCCAUCCUUCCUGAAACUUGACGACUAAUCACUGACUCUGUGUUCAUCAAAGGAGAGAUUACCCUGGGGGACCUGACCUAAUCAGUUGAGUCCUUUCAAGGUGGAAAAGUCACAGAGGACUGCUCCUUCUGACCUUGAAGAAGACAAAAGCGGCCAGCUCUACAGCUGCAAGGAUUUGAAUUCUGCCAAUCACCUGAAUGAGCUUGGAGAAUCGCUCUGGGCAUCUGAUGAGUUGGCAACUCUGACUGACACUUUGAUUUCAGCCUCUGAGAUCUGAGCAGAGACCUGGACACCUGAUCCACAGAAACAGAAAUAUUACAUUUGUGUUGUCUUAAGCAGGUGAAUUGGUGUUAACUUGUCUCACAACAAUUGCAAACUAUCACUAUUGUUAUGUUACAUUUCUAACACACGUGUUAAAGCAACAGUGUUUUCCAGGAAUACAAAACAAAAGGAGACACCCAGGGAACCAGGACAGAGGGGGCUUACUUAAGAGUACAAAGAUCAAGAUGCAGCAGACAUGAUUAUUUGAGAUAAAGGAAGUAAUUCCUCAGCUUGCUGCUCUUCCGGGUUUGGGAGAGGUGGAAACAGGAAGAGGGAGGCAACCAGAUUUUUUCUGAAGGAGAUUUACUACUAUAGACUUUCCUUUCAUAUUUAACAGGUUGGGUGAAUCAAAUAGAUAUUACAACUGUUCAUUAUUAAUAUUUCAAAGGAUCUCAUUUUUACUGUACCCAGUGCAGGUUAAAAAUGUUAAAACUUGGGUCUGGGCCGGGCGCGGUGGCUCAUGCCUGUAAUCCCAGCACUUUGGGAGGCCGAGAUGGGUGGAUUACCUAAGGUCAGGAGCUCGAGACCAGCCUGGCCAGCAUGACAAAACCCCAUCUUUACUAAAAAGACAAAAAUUAGCCGGGCGUGGUCACAAGCACCUGUAAUCCCAGCCACUGGGGAGGCUGAGGCAGGAGAAUCACUUGAACCGGGGAGGCAGAGGUUGCAGUGAGCUGAGAUUGCACCACUGCAUUCUAGCCUGGGCAGCAGAGUGAGACUGUCUCAAUAAUAAUAAUAAUAAAAAAAAGGGUCCGAAGAAUUUUGUUGCUUUUACUUGAGCAGUAUUCACCUACCAGAGGAUGGCCUGUGUGGCAUCUGGGUAUGAUAUCCAAGACAAAAGUGUACAGAGCAGCACUGGGAGAUGAUUAUUAUAAUGUAGUUAAAUUCCGGGAAGAAUAUUGCCUAAGAAAUGGAAGGGAGCAUGUCUAUGUCUUUUUAAAACUUUAACAUCUUUCUUUUAUUCCUGCUGGUUCCAGUUAAUAUUGCUGUGUAAAAAUCCACUUUAAAGGUGCAAAAGAACAACUAUUUUAUUAUGCUGAUGGAUUCUGCAGGUGAGGAAUUCAGAAAGGGCACAAUGGGGAUGGUUUGUGUCUGCUCCCUAAUGCCUGGGCCAAACUUUCUGGCACUAUAUAACAAGGGCCCCAUUUUCUCCAGCUUCCAAUAACAUCUUCCUUAGCUCCCUUUAAGCCCUCAUUGGCAGCUUCCUCAAGUCCUUUUAGAGUCUUGUUAAUACUUUUGUUCCCUUCCUGCUCUUGCUGCUUUACCUAGUUCCAAAGCCAAUGCCACACGUUUUACUUUUAUGAUGUUAUUAUGUUAUGUUUUGUUAUAAUAUCCAUCGUACUUCUAGGUAACAAAAUCGGUUUCAGUUACUAUUGCUAUGUAAUAAACUGUUAUUCUUGCUAUGUAAUAAACUUCUUCCCCUUGCCCCUCCUUAAGAAGCCAGUGGUAGAAGAGAAAGAAAAAAAGCCCCAAGUUACAUAAUAAAACCACAUAGGUUAUAUUUAUGAUAAUGGUA